UACGAAGGGGGCUAGCGUUGUUCGGAAUUACUGGGCGUAAAGCGUAUGCAGGCGGAUCGUUAAGUCGGGGGUGAAAUCCCUCGGCUCAACUGAGGAACUGCCUUUGAAACUGUCCAGCUCGAGGCCGGGAGGGGGUGGCGGAAUUCCCAGUGUAGCGGUGAAAUGCGUAGAUAUUGGGAGGAACACCAGUGGCGAAGGCGAGUCCCUGGACAAGACCUGACACUGAGGCACGAAAGCCAGGGGAGCAAACAGG
rnacentral:rRNA from 1 species